UGUCGACUUGGAGGUUGUGCCCUUGAGGCGUGGCUUCCGGAGCUAACGCGUUAAGUCGACCGCCUGGGGAGUACGGCCGCAAGGUUAAAACUCAAAUGAAUUGACGGGGGCCCGCACAAGCGGUGGAGCAUGUGGUUUAAUUCGAUGCAACGCGAAGAACCUUACCUGGUCUUGACAUCCACGGAAGUUUUCAGAGAUGAGAAUGUGCCUUCGGGAACCGUGAGACAGGUGCUGCAUGGCUGUCGUCAGCUCGUGUUGUGAAAUGUUGGGUUAAGUCCCGCAACGAGCGCAACCCUUAUCCUUUGUUGCCAGCGGUCCGGCCGGGAACUCAAAGGAGACUGCCAGUGAUAAACUGGAGGAAGGUGGGGAUGACGUCAAGUCAUCAUGGCCCUUACGACCAGGGCUACACACGUGCUACAAUGGCGCAUACAAAGAGAAGCGACCUCGCGAGAGCAAGCGGACCUCAUAAAGUGCGUCGUAGUCCGGAUUGGAGUCUGCAACUCGACUCCAUGAAGUCGGAAUCGCUAGUAAUCGUGGAUCAGAAUGCCACGGUGAAUACGUUCCCGGGCCUUGUACACACCGCCCGUCACACCAUGGGAGUGGGUUGCAAAAGAAGUAGGUAGCUUAACCUUCGGGAGGGCGCUUACCACUUUGUGAUUCAUGACUGGGGUGAAGUCGUAACAAGGUAACCGUAGGGGAACCUGCGGUUGGAUCACCUCCUUACCUUAAAGAAGC
rnacentral:rRNA from 1 species